CUAGACUUUCAUUGUACAGAACUGGUUCAUUGCUUUUGUCUACAAGACAAAGAUCAGGUCACCAUGACGACUUUAGCAAACAGCAGCACGUUUACGUCCUUGGUGACAGAAGGGAGGAACUCGUUUGGGUUUUGUCAGGUCAUGAUCGCACACACUUGUGGAAGUAAAAGAUGGCAGGACGAGAAUCUCGGAGCAGUGUUUGUGUGAAGAUGUGCCCUCAGCAGAGAGCUCGUCAUGAAGCCUACAGUGAGCUGUCUAAAGAAGCUCAGAGCUGGAUGGCAGCGGCGAGACAGCGCGUGUGCGCACACCUGAAUAAUCAAAAAUCCCGCCAAGUCUGCAAACUCACCGCUGCUGCUGAGCGUCAAAAUCAACUCACAGCACAAUUAAAAGCCGCCGAGGCGAGGAAUCGUGUUAGACAGCUGAGACAACACUAUCAAAACCUGAAGGAGCAGGAAAUUAACUUAAUGAUUUCAUGCCAGUCUAACGCGCAGAGGGCUGUACGCCUGGAGCAGCUACUCCCAGUGAGAGAGAGGAAGAUAAACCACACAGACUGCAUGGACCAAUUACAGAGACGACGAAUUGAGGAGAUCCUAGAGGAUGAGAAGGGCCUGUCCACCAGUUAUAGAUGACUGAAGAUGAAAAGGAAUAUAUUUUCUGAAUGAUCUGAGACUGAAAAUGCAGAGUAUUGUGGCCUUGCAUGCCAAAUCUUUAUGCGUAUGUUUGUAUUCUAUAUAUAUUUCUUAGUCAAAAUUUCAAGAUAUAUUACCUUGCCACAGACCAGUGAAGCAAUUAUGUUAAGGGAUUCUGGCUGAUUAUGAUUUAAAUAAUUAUCAUUAUUACAGAGUCUGGUAACCGAUAGAUGGGCAAUAUUACAAUUCUAUGCUAUUUUGUAAAUAAAUAAAGAAUAAAACAUUGAAUGC
ensembl:lncRNA